GCCAUCGUAGCUCAGUUGGCAGAGCACUGCUUUCGUAAAGCAGGGGUCGGCGGUUCGACUCCGCCCGAUGGCUCCA
rnacentral:tRNA from 3 species